GGCUUGCAGAGACACAAAUCGCUCUUUAUUUUCUCCUUCCAGGUCCCAUGUUUACUAACCUCAUGAGAGGAGCCACGGAUGCGCCACGGGUCCAUGCACAGACAUGCACAGCACCUUACGUGGUUUUCAGAAGGGCAACAGCGUUUUCGCUUGUGCCUGAGCAAAGCGUGAGGAAAAGGACUCUCUCUGGGAUAAGUGUUGGUUUGACGCAGGACGACGGGGAGCGCGGGGUGAUGUCGACAGGGGAGCCGCUCCCGCAUCGCGUUCCUGCGUCUCCUUCUCCCACGCCUUGCCUGCCCUACCUCUCUGGGCGCUCACGGGCAGCGAAGGCUUGCUCCACCCUCCUAAGGGGAGAAUAAACAUCACAGACUCCUGGAAAUGACCAAAGAUGUCUGCUGAGAAGAAUGGAGCAAGACAGCUUAAAAAGACUCUUUGGGGAUAUCAUCACUUGGUCUUGAAAACAAAGCAAAAUCAUGCAAAUUAAGUGAAUAUGUGGGAAGUUUUAAAAAUCCGCCAGCCUAGUGAUAACACUACUGUAAGAGCAGCAGGUCUGCUUACCUUUAAAUGAAGGCAACCAUUCAGUGCUCCCCCCAGGUACUAUUUGCUGACAGCAGAGAGACUUAUCCUUAGCAGAGGAGAAUCCAUCUUUGUAAAAAAGUCUCUUUCUUCCUUGAUUUCUUCUGCUUGGUCUGGCAGAAACUAGGCUAGUUUCUAGUUUCUAGUUCCUACUAGGCAGGAAAAAAAUAAUUACCGUAUUUGUCGCCGAUUAGCUUUCAUCCUUCAGGGAGUUAUGUUUGGAGCAGUAUGUUCUGUUCUUCCUUUGCUGGGUAUGUUUCUUUGGGAAAGGAGAAGAUAGUCACCACUGAUGACUUAGCAUUCCUUGUGUAUAUGGAAAUAAACAUACAAAUAGAUCAGAACAGAGAAACACUGGUUCUGGGUUUCUUCCAAGCGGAAGUAAAAGUAGGAGCUCCAAUUUAAUUUUGUCUCUUUUAAGCAGUAUUGACAUGACUUUGGAAUUUGACUUUUAUUUAUUUAUUUAUUUAUUUAUUUAUAAUUUUCAGUUGUUCUUUAUGCAUUCUUUCAAACAAUGUGGACACAAGCACUGCAAAACCCUGCAUAGACAAAAGUCCAGCAAUUUCAUGGCUAUUUGCCUAACUGUGCUUGUGAUGAACUCCCUGUGUGCACUGCAAUUCUUACUGAAGGUAUUGAUUUUAUAGUUUCACUGAAGGAGAGCUUUAAACUUGCUCCAUGUGAGGUUACCACAUUGGGUAUGCCACUUGCUUUCCUGGGGACCUUUAAUGAGACGUUCUCCCAUAAUAGCUGCAUCAGUGGUAGUGUAGGUACUCAGUCUAGAAAACAAAGCAAUGCCAGAGAGCUGUAAGCUACCAAAGCAUAUGCAGAUUUCUAUGUAUCCAAAGGUUUAGCUGAAUACAGAGCCAUGAAUGCAGAAUCCAGAAAACAGUCAAGAAAGUCUAGCACAUGCCCAGCUACUUUUUGUGGCAUCUGUAUAGCAGAACAGCUUGGAGUCCAAGUAAUCCUGCUCAUCUUCCAUUGCUUACCUAUAUGGCACCUAGAAAAUCACUCCAUCUCUGUGGCUAACUUUUAUGUGUAAAUGUUGGGCUCAUAGGCCCCUAAGACAGAAGGAGAAAGGCUGCUUAAUUUGUGACAUGCUUGAAAUACAUAAAGCCACAUGCCAAAUGCUGCUGUGCACCCUGUACACGAGCCUUGCCUUCUGCAGUUUCAGGGCAGUCAUUUUUGGAGUGUCUGAAGAAAGGCUGUGAGACAAGUAAUGUGCAAACUGGGAGCUGAACUGAGCUUAACACAGCAGACACAGCAGCCAUCUUCCACAAUCAGUAAGUAGGUUACCGAAUUGCAUUAAAUUCUCACUGAACAGUUCUUUGAUUAAACAUUUAAUACAGUCCUCAAGCAUACGUAUAUGGAGUUACACCAUUAAUGACAAUUCUUCUGUUUCAGCUUGAAUGCAUCUGUCAGAUCUGAUUGGAAAAUCAUGUUAGCUUUUUCUAUUUGAUUGAGCGUGCUUCAGUUUAGCUGCUGAAGGCUACCAAUUUUCUCACCACAGUUUAGCUGUAUAUGAGGUAAUGCUGGGAAUCUGUAGUUUCAGUUUAGUCUUACAGUCAGUUACCAUUAUCAGUUGCUGUAUCUAUAUAGAUAUGUAUUUUUAACCCCAACGAAGAACAAAGGAUAAAGUUUUCUGAGAUACAGGCAACUCACACUCACAAGGAUGUGAAUUAUUCCAUGUAGGGGAGUUGGGGGUGCACUUAGGUGAAUUAUUCUAACAUACAGAAAUCUCGGAAUAUGAAAUUUUAAUUUCCCUUAGCCCAUGGACACCAAGGGCUUAUUGCUUUCUACAUUUUUUUUUUUUGUAAUUCAAUCAUCUUGCCAUCUGAUUGCAAAGAGAGCUUUGCUAGCUGAGAGUGCAGUGAAUGUUUCUGGAUUUUUCACUUAGUAGCUGUGCCUGCCUUACCUUUGAGAAAGUAACACAGGGAGGGGAGGUAGGGGGGUCAAGACGUAUUUUAAAAGCUGACUCGCAAAGAAUUUUUGUUAAAUUAGUUUUGUCUUGCUUUUGUAAAGUCCACGAAUUUUUGAGGAAAUGAAAAGCACUAGGAGUUUUCAUUCCCUUUAACCCACUCUCCUUUGUAGAUCAUCUUGAAAAUUAAUUAUCGGGAGUACCAUGCCUGAUCUUCCUGAGCUUGCUGGUGCACUACUGGGAAUACAAGGAGCCGGAUGCUGUUCACCAGCUAUUGUCAAGCCCAAGUCAGGAGUCACCAUAUAAAUGCUCCAGACUAUCACACUUUAAAACACAUUUUUUUUCAUUAUGUUUACCUUACUCAUUAAUUAUAUCAAUUACUAGGGUGAUAUUUUCAAACUGUUGCAAAAAGCUAAGACCUUUCUUCUACCUAAUCACAUAAGCUCAGGCACUGGGGCUAUCAAAAAGCAGGAAGCAGGAUAGAGUUGCUCCCUGGACUGGCUCAAAAAUUCACCAGAGUGGUGGGGAAGUAGUUUGACUUUAACCACAGCAUUGUUUCUCCAGAAUAUUCAUUAAAUGUUAGAAGUGUAAGUAUCGUACAAGAGAUGAAAAAACAUAGGAUGAAGUUUUAGCCUAUGUCCAGUUUGCACUCCACUUUUGAAUAUGAACUAUUUUGCUUUCCAUUUCUUACCAGAUUGUUUUAAAAGCAUGUAUUAGAGCUGCAGGCUUUGCUGCCACACUGACAAUAUGCAGCUCUGGAGACAGAGUGAAGGGCAGAGGGUUGAGUUUUGAGACUGAGCCUGAAUCACAGCCAAAACUCUGUUGGAAGGGAAAGUACUAGCAGUAGAUCUAAUUGAAGGCAUUCAGUAUUUUUUGUACAAUGAAUGGUUGGAUGGUGCUUAGCAUUAGAAUUUCUUUACUAUGCUGCUUUAUUUAUUUAUUUAUUUAUUUAUUUAUUUAUUUAUUUAUUUAUUUAUUUAUUAGUUUACAGUAGUGUACCGAACAUGCCUUAUUGUCCAGUUAGCUUGUUUGCAGCCUAUUUUGCAAGCAAAAUAAGCUUUAGUAAAAUACUGAAUGCAUAAUAUGUGUACAAUAUCUGCCCAUGCAAACAUGCACUUUGAGAGCUUGUACUUACUGCUGAAAUGUUUACGUUGCAUAAAUCAGACACUGUUAAGUCUUCCCUACACAUUUGAGAUGUGUUUGGUCUCAGUCUGUGUUCUGCUUUGUGUUUGGUGGUGUUUCUAGCUCUUUUUUUUGUGUGUGUGUGUGACUAGAAAUACAUUCCUACUACAUUUUUUUGGGGGAGGGAGGACAUGGUCAAAAUGUUCUGCUCUAUAAGUAAAAUUAUUUUCUGCUUGAAUAAUUUCAGGCAGAAAUGUGUGUUAUGAUUAGGUCUGCAGAUGUAGCUGAUGGUGAAAGCAAACGUCUCCCACAGUAAAACAACACUGAUCAGGCAAUCAAAUUUGGUGUUACAAGGUAAAAAUAUUUUAAUCCUCAAUGAAAAUGUUUUCUAUGCAAGAAUCUCUAAGCUCAAAAUUGACUUCUAAAAACACUUCUACUGUUCUUAGCUAUCAUAAUUAGUCAUAAACAAGGAGAUACCACAUGGUCAGAAAAGGCCUACUGUGAUACCGGGUUGGUUUCUAAAAGCACAUGACCUUGGACUUAAGAUAUAGUAGGUUUAUUUUUAACAUGAGCACACAGAUGUUUUCUGUAAAUAGAGUAAUGAAAGGGAUUUACUUUGUAGUUUAUCAAAUGGUUGCCGAAAUGUGAGUAGGUGGAACAAUAAGUGUGCUUUAAUAUCAAGUAUUUUAGGACAAGCUUGGCCAAAACAUUUUGUCUUGUCACAAAAUGUUUUAAAACAACUUCAAAUUGAUAAUACAGCACUGCUGGUGUUCUUGUGAUUUGUAUAAGGCAUAUACAGACAGAACAAGACAUUUUAUAGGACAUGGGUAGCUUAGGUGGUUUUAAAUGAUAAAGAAAGCAUGUUAUGGUGUAGUGCAGAAUGAAACUGUUUCCACCUGAGGAGAUCUUUCUGUAAACUGUCCUUUUCUUUUAGACCAGAUAAACUGUUAAUGUUUUUGUCAUUAAAACUUCACUUUGUCAGACUUAU